rnacentral:rRNA from 1 species
UACAGAGGUCUCAAGCGUUGUUCGGAUUCAUUGGGCGUAAAGGGUGCGUAGGCGGCGCGGUAAGUCGGGUGUGAAAUCUCGGAGCUUAACUCCGAAACUGCAUUCGAUACUGCCGUGCUUGAGGACUGGAGAGGAGACUGGAAUUUACGGUGUAGCGGUGAAAUGCGUAGAUAUCGUAAGGAAGACCAGUGGCGAAGGCGGAUUCUCUGGGCCUGACCUGACGCUGAGGAGCGAAAGCGUGGGGAGCGAACAGG